CGUUUGAUCUACACAUUUUGAAAAAGUGCUUGACGAUCGGUAGCUACUGAGAGACCCAUAUCAUUGGAAAUUUCGUGAAUUCCGUAACUCGGGGAUUUUUCCAUAAGCACUGGUUUUCCGUAUUGAAUUCGACGGCAGUUCGGCUUCGGCGACAGGAGCGACGACAUCAGGAGCGACAUUAGUAGCAAAGCGGGUUCCUCAGAGCGACGAUGGAGAGAGAGAA
rnacentral:misc_RNA from 1 species